rnacentral:rRNA from 1 species
UACGUAGGGGGCAAGCGUUGUCCGGAUUCAUUGGGCGUAAAGAGCGUGUAGGCGGCCAGGUAGGUCGGUUGUGAAAACUGGAGGCUCAACCUUCAGAGGUCGACCGAAACCAUCUGGCUAGAGUCCGGGAGAGGAGAGUGGAAUUCCUGGUGUAGCGGUGGAAUGCGUAGAGAUCCGGAAGAACACCAGUGGCGAAGGCGGCCCGCUGGGCAGUGGCUGACGCUGAGGCGCGACAGCGUGGGGAGCAAACAGG